GCUCGGGUAGCUCAGUCGGAAGAGCGCAAGGCUCGUCACCUUGAAGUCGUGGGUUCGGGUCCCAUUUCAGGCG
rnacentral:tRNA from 1 species